AAAUCAAACCAAAGGACAUGUUUAAAGAAGAUUUCAAUUAAUUUUGAUCCUGAAACGAAGCAGCGCUUGUCAAAAGGUGUGACACUGCAUAGUCAAGGGACAGCUUUGCUGUGGUCUAUUAAAUAUUCUCUUUUAUUCUAAUUUAUUCCCCAAAGGGGAAAACUCUCCAAUGUGACCACUCCAAUUAGGGAUGCUCUCACAUCUACAUGUUCCAGCUGACCUUCUGAAGACAGCCACUGAACACCGAAAGCUCUGUUGAAGUUCCAUAGGGCAAAUCUUACUCAGUAUUCGAUCAAUACAUUUUAUUUUGAGCAUAGUUCUGGGUUCUAUACAUGUGGAUUCCAUGGGAAACCAUGGUGGUUUCAAGAGCUGCUUCUAACUUGCUCAUUAUGACAUCAGAACUGAGAAGAGCAAAGCUGAACACUUAAGUGCAGAAGGAACUGAUGGGUCUUUAAUAUACUGGAAAUGAGUAUGAAUGACCUGUGAAUGGGGAAGAGCCAUGAUGGUCAAGACUGCAAAGAAUGGCCCUGGUGAAAUGUCACUGUUGUCCCUGGCCACCCAACAAGACCUGUGACCACGAUACCAAGAAGACUCAGCAGCUUUUACCAUUUAUGUAAUACUCUGAAUGAAAACUAUUGGCCUCACCAA